UUUUGUUAUUACAAGAACUUUUGCUUUGGUCUGGACUAGAAAUAGUUUGGGCCAGAGGUUUACUGAACUAAACUUCAAUAUUUAUAUUGAAUUGUUAUUUAUUUAAUUGUCAAUUUGUUGAUUAAAUUCAAAAAAUCUUCAAAACUUUCAACAACGGAUCUCUUGGUUCUCGCAUCGAUGAAGAACGCANCGAAAUGCGAUAAGUAAUAUGAAUUGCAGAUUUUCGUGAAUCAUCGAAUCUUUGAACGCNCAUUGCGCCCUCUGGUAUUCCAGAGGGCAUGCCUGUUUGAGCGUCAUUUCUCUCUCAAACCUUCGGGUUUGGUAUUGAGUGAUACUCUUAGUCGAACUAGGCGUUUGCUUGAAAUGUAUUGGNAUGAGUGGUACUGGAUAGUGCUAUAUGACUUUCAAUGUAUUAGGUUUAUCCAACUCGUUGAAUAGUUUAAUGGUAUAUUUCUCGGUAUUCUAGGCUCGGCCUUACAAUAUAACAAACAAGUUUGACCUCAAAUCAGGUAGGAUUACCCGCUGAACUUAAGCAUAUCAU
rnacentral:rRNA from 1 species